GGAGCCGGCCUUGAAAUACCACCCUUUAAUGUUUGAUGUUCUAACGUGGACCCGUGAUCCGGGUUGCGGACAGUGUCUGGUGGGUAGUUUGACUGGGGCGGUCUCCUCCUAAAGAGUAACGGAGGAGCACGAAGGUUGGCUAAUCCUGGUCGGACAUCAGGAGGUUAGUGCAAUGGCAUAAGCCAGCUUGACUGCGAGCGUGACGGCGCGAGCAGGUGCGAAAGCAGGUCAUAGUGAUCCGGUGGUUCUGAAUGGAAGGGCCAUCGCUCAACGGAUAAAAGGUACUCCGGGGAUAACAGGCUGAUACCGCCCAAGAGUUCAUAUCGACGGCGGUGUUUGGCACCUCGAUGUCGGCUCAUCACAUCCUGGGGCUGAAGUAGGUCCCAAGGGUAUGGCUGUUCGCCAUUUAAAGUGGUACGCGAGCUGGGUUUAGAACGUCGUGAGACAGUUCGGUCCCUAUCUGCCGUGGGCGCUGGAGAACUGAGGGGGGCUGCUCCUAGUACGAGAGGACCGGAGUGGACGCAUCACUGGUGUUCGGGUUGUCAUGCCAAUGGCACUGCCCGGUAGCUAAAUGCGGAAGAGAUAAGUGCUGAAAGCAUCUAAGCACGAAACUUGCCCCGAGAUGAGUUCUCCCUGAGACUUAGAGUCUCCUGAAGGAACGUUGAAGACGACGACGUUGAUAGGCCGGGUGUGUAAGCGCAGCGAUGCGUUGAGCUAACCGGUACUAAUGAACCGUGAGGCUUAACCUUACA
rnacentral:rRNA from 1 species